ensembl:misc_RNA Metazoa_SRP Metazoan signal recognition particle RNA
GCCGGGCAUGGUGGUGCAUGCCUGUAAUCCCAGCUACUCAGGAGGUUGAGGCAGAUGAAUCACUUGAACCCAGGAGGUGGAGGUUGUGGUGAGCAGAGAUCGUGCCAUGGCACUCCAGCCUGGGCAACAGAGUGAGACUCUGUCUCAA